CCAUCCGACAUUUGUGGUUGA
rnacentral:miRNA from 1 species